rnacentral:rRNA from 1 species
UGGGGAAUAUUGCACAAUGGACGAAAGUCUGAUGCAGCAACGCCGCGUGGAGGAUGACACAUUUCGGUGCGUAAACUCCUUUUAUAUGAGAAGAUAAUGACGGUAUUAUAUGAAUAAGCACCGGCUAACUCCGUGCCAGCAGCCGCGGUAAUACGGGGGGUGCAAGCGUUACUCGGAAUCACUGGGCGUAAAGAGCAUGUAGGCGGAUUAAUAAGUUUGAAGUGAAAUCCUAUAGCUUAACUAUAGAACUGCUUUGAAAACUGUUAAUCUAGAAUGUGGGAGAGGUAGAUGGAAUUUCUGGUGUAGGGGUAAAAUCCGUAGAGAUCAGAAGGAAUACCGAUUGCGAAGGCGAUCUACUGGAACAUUAUUGACGCUGAGAUGCGAAAGCGUGGGGAGCAAA